rnacentral:tRNA from 1 species
GUCUCAGUAGCAUUGUGGUUAGUGCCCAUCACCGAAUAGGCUGAGACGCGGGUUCGAUUCCCGCCUGAGAUG